UUGCAGCUGAUGCUGGAAUACGUCUUAAAAUUAACUGUCAUUGAUAGAAUUAAGGAACGCCAAUAAUCACUCACCGUAUUAGGACUACCCUUUGUAUAUUUUGUUAUUACUAACUCGUCUGUCUACCUGUGGUUCUUCGUUACCCCCUUUCACUAGGCAUUGGAUCUUAGACCACAAAAGUACACCAACAAAAGGUACUUAUGCUUACGGAAAGCUUCUUCUUUGUGCCUUUUUAUAUAAAUAGUUUUUGCUUUUUCUUAUCUACGAAUGAAUUCCUUAUUCUUUAGAGAAGCAAAACCUCUAGAAUUUAAAUUUUAAGACUUAACUGGUCGAGUUUAUCAUUGUGCGUGCACUUUGUAAUUUUCAUUCUUCACUUUAACAAGUUAUAGGAAUAACCUUAUUCAGCUGGCAAAGCCUUACUUAAUCCUCAGCAGAUGCACCCGAAAAAAUAUAAUGAUAAUGAUUAAACCUAGUUUUCCGUAAGUACAAUGAUAAUCAUUAAAGUUAAGUCGCGAAGUACACUAAACGUUCUGUCGUUCUGCGAAGUACACAAGGUAAUAUAGAAAAUGUUAGAAACCAUGGCGAAUAUCAGCAAACAGGACGACUUUUGUGAAGAAAACCAUGCGAAAAUGGAUGAAAACGAUGGGUGUUGUAACUGUCUAAUUGCAUUGCUGAUACCCAGGUUGAUCAACAGAUCAAGAUUUAUCCAAACAUGGCUGGGAGAACCUUCAAGGGGAGGAUAAUUCUUUAUAAUAUAUAAUAAUAUAUACAGUCUUGUUUAGUAGGUAGCGAAUAUGUAGUGUUAAGCUGACCUCUCACUAAAACUUAGUGCAAAUAAAAGACCUUUAAAAGUUAUGUAGGAUUCUUUUUAUUUUUAUUUUACACAUAUUUUUUUUUCUUUUGAAAAAUUGUCGUGAAUACAUGAUAUGUAAAAAUGCUUAAAAUGUCAAUACUGAAGGGCUAAAAACAUUUUUAGCCUUAUAUGACUUGUCAAAACUCAUUCACAUUAGCUUAUUCAGAGCUAUUUUAUAAGUUAUAAAUAAUAAGUGAAGUUUCAAAGUCAAAAAAUUGCUGUUGCUUAGUUAAAGCAAGCAGAAUUUAGAAACAAGUGUACAAUUUAAACCAACUGAAACUAUGUCUUGUCUUUUUAAUAAUAACCGAAACUAAUAACCGAAAUUAAAUAGUUGGAAUACUGGUACUAGACUAUUGCAAAGGCAAUGUUUAUUUGAAUCAUGUAAAAUAAUUAGGAUACCCUUUUGUGCACGAACUUAUUGCAUAAAUAUGAUCUUUGAUGUUUCAGACAAAUGGAAAUUGAAAAAUAAACUAUAAAUCUAUUUUUUAUACAAUUCUGUUUACAUUUUCUUUCAAUAAGUACAAAGUCAGUGAUAAAGUUAUACUUUUUUGAAUAAUAAAAGCCAAAUUACCAAUUGCUAUAUUUUUGUGUAGAAUUGAUUUUUCCUUUCCGUUUACAUCAGUCAUUAGUAAAUAAUAUUACUUUAUUUCUUCAGUUAGGGUAUCUAAAACAAAACUUAAUUAAAAAAUAAUUAUUUGAGGAAAACAUCUUGCUUUGACAAGCAUAAAUAUAAAACCAUAAAGUAAUUUUUAGUUUUUCAUUCAUCUACUUUAUCAUCAUCUAUCAUCUAUUUUAUUUUAGAAAACCAAGAACCACCAAAAAAAUUAAAGAAAACUAAUUUGAGUGAUAAUCGUUUAAAGAUAUGUGUACAUUGCGGGGAAAAAAGUGGCAACAGAAAAAGAGUUUGUCCUUGUGGAAAUAUAUUUGAUAUACGCAAAAAGACGCUGCAGGAGCGCAUCCCUUCAGGCCAAACAAGUCUUUCUGCACAGAGAGAUAUUGUUCAUUCCAGAGUAAGUAUAUUAAUUUUAUUAUGGUUAUUAGUUGUUGUUUUUAAAAAAAGAUUUGGCUUUAAAUUCUUUGUUUAUGUUAAGUAUUGUUUAAGAACCGGUCUAACUUAAUAUGCUCUUUUAGCAGUUUGUCUUGUUCUGUAGUUAAAACAAGAAUUUUGUAUGCUGAGAUAAAUUUCUUAGAUGAUUGGCAUGAAAGAAAAGCAUGGCUGGAACAGCUUUGUAAUUUAUGCUAAAAAAGGGGAAAGAAAUAUGAUGUUGGACACAUUUUCAACACCUGGAUUUUCGGCUGAAUUUUUUGGAGAAAAAGGAAAUCGCACUC